rnacentral:rRNA from 1 species
CCAAGAAGUCCAACAUGUGCGCGAGUCAUUGGGUAUUACGAAACCUAAAGGCGUAAUGAAGGUAAAGGCGAGUUCGGCUCGCCGAGGUGAGAUCCUCGUCUUMGGUCGGGGCGCAUCACCGGCCCGUCACUGGCGGAGCAAGAGCGCACACGUUGGGACCCGAAAGAUGGUGAACUAUGCCUGAGCAGGACGAAGCCAGAGGAAACUCUGGUGGAAGUCCGCAGCGAUUCUGACGUGCAAAUCGAUCGUCAAACUUGGGUAUAGGGGCGAAAGACUAAUCGAACCAUCUA